GGCAACCUGCUGGGGUCCCUUUCCACACUGUGGAAGCUUUGUUCUUUUGCUCUUUGCAAUAAAUCUUGCUACUGCUCACUUUUUGGGUCCACACUGCUUUUAUGAGCUGUAACACUCGCCGUGAAGGUCUGCAGUUUCACUCCUGAAGCCAGCGAGACCACGAGCCCACCGGGAGGAAGGAACAACUCCAGACGCGCCGCCUUAAGAGCUGUAACACUUACCGCAAAGGUCUGCAGCUUCACUCCUGAGCCAGCGAGAACCACGAACCCACCAGAAGGAAGAAACUCCGAACGCAUCUGAACAUCAAAAGGAACAAACUCCAGACGCGCCACCUUAAGAGCUGUAACACUCACUGCGAGGGUCCGCGGCUUCAUUCUUGAAGUCAGUGAGACCAAGAACCCACCAAUUCCGGACGCGAUAUGGUUUGGCUCCGUGUCCGCACCCAAAUCUCAUCUUGAAUUGUCCUCCCAUAAUUCCCACAUGUUGUGGGAGGGACCUGGUGGGAGAUAGUUGAAUCAUGGGGGCAGUUUCCCCCAUACUGUUCUUUUGGUAGUAAAUAAGUCUCACGAGAUCUGAUGGGCUUUCGCUUCUUUUUCAUCUCUUUUGCCACUGCUACUUAAGAAGUGCCUUUUGCCCUCACCAGGAUUGUGAGGUCUUCCCAGCCAUGAGGAACUGUACUGUGCUAAAUAUUUUAAGUGAAUGAUUUUUACGAAUCCUCAUGGUAGCCUUGUCAGUAUGCACCGUAGUACCCUCAUCCCAUGGAAGACUGCUUCUUCUUGGUGUGGUUAGGUCAACACUGCCAAGGUCAAGCAGGUGAAGAUCCUGAAUACCAGAGAGGGCUGCUGACAGGUCCAGGAUUACACUUCUAGCACCUAGCAGAGAGAGGAUUCACUUCAUCGUGCUUCCUGACAUCUCUCCCUUUGAAGAGCAGUCAGACUCCUGCUUUGCUCUUCAGACUUAGUUUGGGGGUUUAACAGCCACGUGAAGUGCUCACUGCCCCUUUGCCUUCUGCCAUGAUUGUAAGUUUCCUAAGGCCUCCCCAGAAGCUGAGCAGAUGCUUCCUGUACAGCCUGCAGAACUGGGUAGCCCACAGCUAUUCCAUGGAUGGGCACAUUUGGAAGUUUGGUUCUAAAAUCUAAAAGAAGAAAUUUAAGUGUGCUGAAGAUAACUGCAACUCCCAACCUAAUGCCGUGUAGUUCUAUGUUCUGCCAUCUUGAAGCAAAGUGGAACCAGAAGUGAGAGGACUAUUUCUAGGUCAUGUUAUGGUUACCCUGACCCCAGUCACUCCCUCUGCUGGUCCAUCCAAACUCAGAGCCAUGAUCAAGGCCCUUCUACAACACAGAUCUGAUUACUUCACUCUCUUUUGUGGGGUAAAUAUAAGCCAAGAGCCAAGCAGGUGCACUGUGGAGGAGGCGAGAAUGCAAGAAGAAAAAAAGAAAGCCCGCCGGGCACGGUGGCUCACGCCUGCAAUCCCAGCACUUUGGGAGGCCAAGAGUUCAACAGCGAGUGCCGGGGGAAGAUCAAGGAAAAAUUGUCUGCAUCUUGAUUCCAGAUUUUAAAAGCUCUGUAACCCUCACUCCAAGGGUUGUGCUUGCAGAAGAGAAAACAUUACCGCUGGGACUAAAAAACAAAAUCCUUUCACAAAUGUAACUGAGUUUGUUUGCAUGCUCUGGAAUAUAAAUGUUUGAAAAUCUGCAAUGGCAAUGAAAUAAGGUAUCAAAUUUUACAGGCAAAAAGCCAUAGAACCAAUAUUCCAAAAAUGGCUCAUUAAUUUCUUUUUUUACCCACCAACUGCACAGCUUGAGAAUGUAUUUUAAAAAUCUGAUCUUGUUUUAAACUAUUAAAAUAUUUUCCAGUGUCUAAAUAGCAGCCAGUUCUUAUAUUAUUCAUGAUUGCAGCCUGUCAUUGUGACCAGUUUUUUCCACUACUUAAUUGAGUGUAGUAUCAUUUCCAUUUUGCUACUGCCUGAUAGUACUGAAAAAUGUAAGCUAUAAAACUGCACUCCUCAAGAAAUAUUAAUGGAGAAGGAUGUCCAUAUCCUUUUACAAUGCUUAAAAGCUUAAGCUGUAAUAAUAAAAAGUUGGCAUGUAUUUCCUGAAAAAAUCAAAAGAAGAACUUGAAGGAAAUGAAAGUAAAAUCCAAUAGGAUUAUAAAAUUAGAACAGAGUUAAGGAAAAAUAUUUUGAGUACCAGAAGAAAUCUAAAAUAAAUAAAAAAUAAUAAUACAUUUGUGAUACUGUGAUGUGACCCAGACAAUCGGUACUAAAUUAUGUAAUUGGAGACUCCUUGAAGAAUCUAGCAAUGCACUCAUUGGAGGAAGGCAAUAAAAACAUCUUUCCCUGGAUACCCAUCUGGAUUUAACCAGCUAGAUAAAGGGAAAAAUGAACUGGUAGUUUAGAGAGAAAGCACUAGGACAAAACCUUGUCAGCCAUCAGAAUGGUGAGACUAAGGAAAUGGAGGAACCAAAUUCUUGACAUGGCUGGUCUAUGCUUAAAGAGGAAGGGGACAGUAUCAUACUCUACUCUAUUAUUGAUAACCAGAAGAAAUGGUGAAGCUAUUUGGUUCAAGUUGAUUAGUAACAUCUUCAUACCUAGUAAAGUGUCAUAAGUCUCAUUUAAAGCCAUGGAGAGUUACCACACAUAGUUAAGAAUUUAAGAUUUGAAAGGAGUUAAGGUAAAAUCUCUCUCUUGGUAUAUGGCUAAGAAUUUCCAGGAGAGGUGUUACAAAACUCAACAAGGCUGGUAUAUUAGUCUGUUCUUGCAUUGCUAUAAAUAAAUGAGACUGCAUAAUUCAUAAAGAAAAAAGAUUUAAUUGGCUCACUGUUCUACAGGCUUUAUAGGAAGCAUGGUGCUGACAUCUGCUUGGCUUUUGGGGAGGCUUCAGGAGACUUAAAAUCAUGAUGGAAGCUGAAAGGAGGAGCAGGCAGGUCACAUGGAAAAAGCAGGAGAAACAGAUAGAGGGAUGUGUUGCUACACACCUUAAAACAACCAGAUCUUCAAAGAACUCAUUUGCUAUUGUGAGAAUAGUACCAACAGGACGGUGCUAAACCAUUCAUGAGAAAUCAUCCCUUGUGAUCCAAUCACCUCCCACCAGGCCCCACCUCCAACAUUGGAGAUGAUUACAGUUCAACAUGAGAUUUGGGUGGAACAUACAAACCAUAUCAUUUUGCCUCUGGCCCCCCAAAUCUCAUUUACUUCUCACAUUGCAAAAUACAAUCGUGCCUUCCCAGUAGUCCCUGAAAGUCUUAACUCAUUCUAGCAUUAACUCAAAAGUCCGAAGUCCAAGUUUCAUCUAAGACGGGGUAAGUCUCUGCCACCCAUAAGCCUGUAAAAUUAAAGACAAUUUAUGUACUUCCAAGAUAUAAUGGGGUUAUAAGCAUUGGGUAAUCAUUCUCAUUACAAAAGGGAGAAAUGAGCCAAAAGAAAGAGAAGUACAGGGCCCAUGCAAGUCCAAAACCCAACAGGGCAGUCAUUAAAUCUUAAGGCUCCAAAAUUAUCUCCUUUGACUCCAUGUCUUGCCUCCAGGACACAAUGGUACAAGGGAUGGGUUCCCAAUGCCUUGGGCAGCUCUGCCCCUAUGGCUUGGCAAAGUUCAGCUCCAGAGGCUGCUGUCACAGGUUGUUGAGUGCCUGUGGCUUUUCCAUGCUGAGUAUGCAUGCUGGCGGUGGAUCUACCAUUAUGGAGUCUGCAGGACAGUGGCCUUCUUCCCACAGCUCCAUUAGGCAGUGCCCCAGUGGGGACUCUAAGUGGAGCCUCCAACCCAUUUUCCCUCUGCACUGCCCUAGUAGAUGUUCUUUGUGAGGGCUCUGACCCUGCAGCAGGCUUCUGCUUGGGCACCCAGUCUUUCUUAUAUUUGCUAUUACUUUUAAUGGCAAAAACCACAAUUACUUUUGCACCAACAUAAUACGUCCUCUGAAAUCUAGGCAGAGAACAUCAAGCCUCAUUAAUUAUUGCACUCUGUGUGGCCACAGGCGUAAAGCCACAUGGAAGCCACCAAGACUUACAGUAGCUUAUGCCCUCUGGAACUAUGGCCAAACCUGUACCUGGGCCCCUUAAAGCGGAGGCUGGAGCCAGAGCAGCUGGGAUGUGGGAGCUGCAUCCCGAGGCUACACACAGGGCAGUGGAGCCCUUGGCCCAGGAAAGCAUUCUUCCUUUCUAGGCCUCUGGGUCUGUGAUGGGAGAGGCUGCUGUGCAGGUCUAUGAAAGGCCUUCGAAGCCUUUUUCUUGUUGUCUUGGCUAUUAGCACUUGGCUUCUUCUUAUAUACAAAUAUCUCUAAUAAGUGGUUGAUCCACAGUCUGCUUGACUUCCUCUCCCAAAAUAGCUUUUUCUUUCUCUGCCUAGACAUGAAUAGGUUGCAAAACUUUCAAACUUUUACACUCUGCUUUCCUUUUAAAUAUUAAAGUUCCAACUUAUUUGUUUGCUCCUGUAUAUGAACAUAGGCUGUUAGAAGCAGUCAUGUUACUUCUUAAACACUUACUUUGCUGCUUAGAAAUUUAUUUCACCAGAUACCCUAGGUCAUCACUCUCAAUUUCAAACUUCCACAUAUCCCUAGGGCAUGGCCACAAUCCAGCCAAGCUCUUUUGCUGAGGCAUAGCAUAUAUGACCUUUGCUUCAGUUCCGAAUAAGAUCCUCAUUUCCAUCUGAUACCUCAUCAGGCAGGCAUUCACUCUCCAUAUCACCAUCAGCAUUUUGGUCACAACCAUCUAACCAGUCUCUACAAAGUUCCAAACUUACCCUGUCUUCUUCUGAGCUCUCCAAACUCUUCCAACAUUUGUCUGUUACCCAGUUCCAAAGCUGCUUCUAAAUUUUAGAUAUCUUUAUAGCAAUGCCCCACUUCUCAGGACCAAUUUUCUGUAUUAGUUCAUUCUUGCAUCACUAUAAGGAAAUACCUGAGACUGGGUAAUUUAUAAAGAAAAGAAGUUAAAUUGGCUCAUGGUUUUGCAGACUAUACAGGAAGCAUGGCACGACAUCUGCUCAACUUCUGGAGAGGCUUCAGGAACUUACAAUCAUGAUGGAAGGUGAAAGGGGAGCAGGCAGGUCAUAUGAGGAGAGCAGGAGCACGAGAGAGAGGGGAGUGCUACACACUUUUAAAUGACCAGAUCUUGCAAGAACUAUUUUUCAGUUUGUCUUUGAUUCACAUAGUUUCAUGUAAUAAAUCUUCAAAAUAGUCAGGGAAUGAAUUGUAAACACCCCUUACUCCUUACCAGUUCCUCUGCUUGAGUUCUAUUACUGUGUAUCUCCUAAAAUUUACAUUUAAAAAUAUUUCUGCCUGUUUUAAGUAUUUAUUUUGCUUCUUUGCUCAGCAAUAAAGUUGUCUUUAUCCACUGAAUCCACCUUUGCAGUUUUUCUGAACAUUGUUCUGUUCAUGGAAACCUACAUAAAUUCUUCCUAGACAAAUGUGGCUUUGCAUGCAUGUGUGUGUACAUGCACCCACACAGACAAAUUGUCCCACACUCACAGGCAUAUGCAGUGCUAUGCAUACCAUUUCAUGGGUUCAUCAAUCCCAUAAUUCUAUCUAUGAAUACCAGGUUAGGAAUUCUUGCUGUGUUGAUUUGUGUUGUUCUGGCCUUAGACAAAAUUGUUAUGAAGGGCCAGUCUGCCUCUAGUUCAUCCUGCUUCUUUGUAGUGAGCACUUACGGAGUGUCUGUGGUAUGCUGUGCCAGGUUUUGCUUUAGAUGACAAAGGCACAAGUUUGCUGGACUUAUUUUGUUUCUUUCUCUAUAGAAUGUCUAGAAUUACUCUAUACUCCUUUUCAUCUCUACCCAAAUGAUCUUCGUUGGUAAAACUUUAAACACGCCACAUAAUUUACAUGUCACAUAUUUUAAUCAAAGCACAAAGGUUUGAAUUUUCUGUGAGCAAAUUUCUUAUUAAAAAUCCUUUACUGUAAGAGUUUAAAAAGACAUUGAAGACUUUGGCAAAGUUACCUGGAAAAAACAAUUCUCUUUGGAGCUUUGCUCUGGCCUGCUUGGAAAAGCAUCUUUUCUUCAGCCAAUCAGCCUGGAAUUCACUGUAAUGCUCAUCGGGCCAUGUGAUGUACACCUUAUAACACAAAAAGCAAAUUUCACCGAUGUGGAUUUUAUUUCCGUUCUCCUCUAUUGCUCUGCUUUUGAAUGCUCUUUAAGAUAAUCAGGGAAUCCAAUUAUGCUUUGCUUAAUUUUUUUUUUAGACAGAGUCUUG